CCUACGGGUGGCAGCAGUCGAGAAUCAUUCACAAUGGGGGAAACCCUGAUGGUGCGACGCCGCGUGGGGGCAUGAAGGUCUUCGGAUUGUAAACCCCUGUCAUGUGGGAGCAAAUUAAAAAGAUAGUACCACAAGAGGAAGAGACGGCUAACUCUGUGCCAGCAGCCGCGGUAAUACCGAGGUCUCAAGCGUUGUUCGGAAUCACUGGGCGUAAAGCGUGCGUAGGCUGUUUCGUAAGUCGUGUGUGAAAGGGGCGGGCUCAACCCGCGGACGGCACAUGAUACUGCGAGACUAGAGUAAUGGAGGGGGAACCGGAAUUCUCGGUGUAGCAGUGAAAUGCGUAGAGAUCGAGAGGAACACUCGUGGCGAAGGCGGGUUCCUGGACAUUAACUGACGCUGAGGCACGAAGGCCAGGGGAGCGAAAGGGAUUAGAUACCCCAGUAGUC
rnacentral:rRNA from 1 species